rnacentral:tRNA from 1 species
GCCAUGGUGGUUCAGUGGUAGGAUUCUCGCCUUCCAUGGGAGAGACCUGGGUUCAAUUCCCAGCCAAUGCA